rnacentral:snRNA from 1 species
GUGCUCACUUCAGCAACACAUAUACAAAAACUGAAACAAUACAGAACCCUGUGCAAGUAUGACAUUCAAAUUCAGGAAGUGUUCCUUAUUUUU